CGAGCCGGGCGGACGGCCGCGUGGGGACCGAAGGGUCCUCCCGAGGAACGUCCGGGCUCCACAGGGCAGGGUGGUGGGUAACGCCCACCCGGGGUGACCCGCGGGACAGUGCCACAGAAAGCAGACCGCCGGGGGCCUCGGCCUCCGGUAAGGGUGAAACGGUGGUGUAAGAGACCACCAGCGCCCGGGGUGACCCGGGCGGCUCGGUAAACCCCACCCGGAGCAAGGUCAGGAGGGGCCGUCGCGAGACGGUCCUGCGCGGACGUUCGAGGGCUGCCCGCCCGAGUCCGCGGGUAGACCGCACGAGGCCGGCGGCAACGCCGGCCCUAGAUGGAUGGCCGUCACCCCGACGACCGCGAGGUCGCGGGGCACAGAACCCGGCGUACAGCCCGGCUCGUCCU
rnacentral:RNase_P_RNA from 1 species